rnacentral:rRNA from 1 species
CAGGCCUAACACAUGCUAGUCGAGCGGAGAGAGGUAUCUUGCUACUGAUCUUAGCGGCGGACGGGUGAGUAAUACUUAGGAAUCUGGCUAUUAGUGGGGGACAACAUUUCGAAAGGGAUGCUAGUACCGCAUACGUCCUACGGGAGAAAGCAGGGGAUCUUCGGGCCUUGCGCUAGUAGAUGAGCCUAAGUCGGAUUAGCUAGUUGGUGGGGUAGAGGCCUACCAAGGCGACGAUCUGUAGCGGGUCUGACAGGAUGAUCCGCCACACUGGGACUGAUACACGGUCCACACUCCUACGGGAGGCAGCAGUGGGGAAUAUUGGACAAUGGGGGGAACCCUGAUCCACCCAUGCCGCGUGUGUGAACAAUGCCUUAUGGUUGUAAAGCACUUUAUGCGAGGACGAGGGUACUGGUAUUACUACUACCAGGUACUGGACGUUACUCGCAUAAUAAGCAGCGGCUGACUCUGUGCCAGCAGCCGCGGUAAU